rnacentral:rRNA from 1 species
CCUUAAAGUUUGGGAUAACUUGGGGAAACUCAAGCUAAUACCGGAUACUGUCUUAGGAACAAAAGCGUGGGGACCUUCGGGCCUGGCGCUUUAAGAUUAGCCUGCGUCCGAUUAGCUAGUUGGUGGGGUAAGGGCCUACCAAGGCGACGAUCGGUAGCUGGUCUGAGAGGAUGACCAGCCACACUGGAACUGAGACACGGUCCAGACUCCUACGGGAGGCAGCAGUGGGGAAUAUUGGACAAUGGGGCAACCCUGAUCCAGCAAUGCCGCGUGUGUGAAGAAGGCCUGAGGGUUGUAAAGCACUUUCAGUGGGGAGGAGGUUACUUAGGUUAAGAGCUAGAGUAAUGGACGUUACCCACAGAAGAAGCACCGGCUAACUCCGUG